GCGAUUAAAAUUAAAUGGAUAACUCCGUUAACUUCUGGAUACUCAUUCCUGCACGAGGGAAGCCAUAGCCAUCUUCUUUAAAAACUGCUUUCUGCUGUAGCUUGCUGGGGAGAGCACUGCAGCUUCUCAGGGCUUUCUGAGCAAUUGCAAGGAAAGUUGAACUCCUUCAGUGUGCAGAUGAUAUUUUUCUCUUUACCUCGAGUUGUUUGGUUUUUCGUGUGGUACUUAAAACGUUGUUGCAUUUCUUUAGGCUGUUAAUUCCUAUGCUUUCAGUAACUGCUCCGUUGUAGUCUGUCCUUCAGAUCUCGGGUGCUGUAGCUGCUUGCCACAACAGCAUGUUUUCCUGUGUUUAGGAACCAACUGGUGAACCAUCUCCUAAAAGACCAAGAGGAAGACCCAAGGGAAGCAAAAACAAGAGUCCCUCUAAAGCAGCUCAGAAGAAAGCAGAAGCCACUGGUGAAAAGCGACCCCGAGGGCGGCCCAGAAAAUGGCCUCAACAAGUGGUUCAAAAGAAGCCUGCUCAGGAAGAGACUGAAGAAACAUCCUCACAAGAAUCUGCAGAGGAAGACUAGGAGACCGCACCAUGCAAUUUCUACCUCAUCAGCAGUUGGGUCUUUUGAAGGGAGAAGACACUGCCUUGACCACUUAUUUUCUAUUGCCAUGGUCUUUCCACUUUUGCCUGGG